UCUUUUCUCUUUCUUUUGAUUUCUUUUGAUUUUGAUUUCUUUGGAUUUUAAACCCUCCUCUUUCUUUUCUUUUCUUUUUUUUUUAUUACAUUUGUAAUGCCCCAGUUUGGCUGUUUUGUUGAUUCUCGAGAUACAGCUGAAUGAUCUUCUUUUCUUGCUCAAGAAGUCGGGAAAUCUCGUCAGGAAUCCCUUCAACAUCAUCUUCUUCCGCUUCGAAUACAGGGAAUUCAA
rnacentral:lncRNA from 1 species